UGUUGGGUUAAGUCCCGCAACGAGCGCAACCCUUAUUUUUAGUUGCCUUUAUGGAACUCUAGAAAGACUGCCGGUUAUAAACCGGAGGAAGGCGGGGAUGACGUCAAGUCAGCAUGCCCCUUACACCCUGGGCUACACACGUGCUACAAUGGGCGAGACAAUGAGACGCAAAUCUGCGAAGACUAGCUAAUCUAUAAACUCGUUCUAAGUUCGGAUUGCAGGCUGCAACUCGCCUGCAUGAAGUUGGAAUCGCUAGUAAUCGCUGGUCAGCUAUACAGCGGUGAAUUCGUUCCCGGGCCUUGUACACACCGCCCGUCACACCAUGGAAGCUGGUUAUACCCAAAGUCGUUACUCUAACCUUUUUGGAGGGGGACGCCUAAGGUAGAAUUAGUGACUGGGGUGAAGUCGUAACAAGGUAACCCUACUGGAGGUGGGGUUGGAUCACC
rnacentral:rRNA from 1 species